CCUACGGGAGGCAGCAGUGAGGAAUAUUGGUCAAUGGACGAGAGUCUGAACCAGCCAAGUAGCGUGAAGGAUGACUGCCCUAUGGGUUGUAAACUUCUUUUAUAUGGGAAUAACAUGUUCCACGUGUGGGAUUUUGUAUGUACCAUAUGAAUAAGGCUCGGCUAACUCCGUGCCAGCAGCCUCGGUAAUACGGAGGAUCCGAGCGUUAUCCGGAUUUAUUGGGUUUAAAGGGAGCGUAGGUGGAUUGUUAAGUCAGUUGUGAAAGUUUGCGGCUCAACCGUAGAAUUGCAGUUGAAACUGGCAGUCUUGAGUACAGUAGAGGUGGGCGGAAUUCGUGGUGUAGCGGUGAAAUGCUUAGAUAUCACGAAGAACUCCGAUUGCGAAGGCAGUUCACUGGACUGCAACUGACACUGAGGCUCGAAAGUGUGGGUAUCAAACAGGAUUAGAUACCCUAGUAGUC
rnacentral:rRNA from 1 species